rnacentral:rRNA from 1 species
UACAGAGGUCCCGAGCGUUGUUCGGAUUCACUGGGCGUAAAGGGUGCGUAGGUGGUUGGGUAAGUCUGAUGUGAAAUCUCCGGGCUCAACCCGGAAAUGGCAUUGGAUACUAUUCGGCUAGAGGUUUGGAGAGGGGACUGGAAUUCUCGGUGUAGCAGUGAAAUGCGUAGAUAUCGAGAGGAACACCAGUGGCGAAGGCGAGUCCCUGGACAACACCUGACACUGAGGCACGAAAGCUAGGGGAGCAAACAGG